rnacentral:rRNA from 1 species
ACUUAGUGGCGGACUGGUGAGUAACGCGUGGAUAACCUGCCUUACACUGGGGGAUAACACUUAGAAAUAGGUGCUAAUACCGCAUAAGCGCACAGAGCCGCAUGGCUCAGUGUGAAAAACUCCGGUGGUGUAAGAUGGAUCCGCGUCUGAUUAGCUAGUUGGCGGGGUAGAAGCCCACCAAGGCGACGAUCAGUAGCCGGCCUGAGAGGGUGAACGGCCACAUUGGGACUGAGACACGGCCCAAACUCCUACGGGAGGCAGCAGUGGGGAAUAUUGCACAAUGGGGGAAACCCUGAUGCAGCAACGCCGCGUGAGUGAAGAAGUCAUUCGUGAUGUAAAGCUCUAUCAGCAGGGAAGAAAAUGACGGUACCUGAGUAAGAAGCCCCGGCUAACUACGUGCCAGCAGCCGCGGUAAUACGUAGGGGGCAAGCGUUAUCCGGAUUUACUGGGUGUAAAGGGAGCGUAGACGGCCAGACAAGUCUGAAGUGAAAAUCCAGCGCUUAACGUUGGAAGUGCUUUGGAAACUGCCGGGCUAGAGUGCAGGAGGGGCAGGCGGAAUUCCUAGUGUAGCGGUGAAAUGCGUAGAUAUUAGGAGGAACACCAGUGGCGAAGGCGGCCUGCUGGACUGCAACUGACGUUGAGGCUCGAAGGCGUGGGGAGCAAACAGGAUUAGAUACCCUGGUAGUCCACGCGGUAAACGAUGAUUACUAGGUGUCGGGGGGCUAGAGCCCUUCGGUGCCGUCG